CACGUAGGGGGCAAGCGUUGUCCGGAUUUAUUGGGCGUAAAGAGCUCGUAGGCGGUUCCGUCAGUCGGGUGUGAAAACUCUGGGCUCAACCCAGAGACGCCACCCGAUACUGCGGUGACUAGAGUCCGGUAGGGGAGCGUGGAAUUCCUGGUGUAGCGGUGAAAUGCGCAGAUAUCAGGAGGAACACCAACGGCGAAGGCAGCGCUCUGGGCCGGCACUGACGCUGAGGAGCGAAAGCGUGGGUAGCGAACAGGAUUAGAUACCCCCGUAGUCC
rnacentral:rRNA from 1 species